UUUUUUAUGGCCGAGCUGUUAGGCAGUAGAUUUUUAAUCUAUAGACGGGUUCUUAAACUCUUUGCGAUGA
rnacentral:tRNA from 1 species